GCGGCACAGCUCAAUUUGAAUCUGGCCUCUUGGGGUCCGAGUUGUAAUUUGUAGAGGAUGUUUCGGGUACCGCCUCGGUUUAAAUUUCUUGGAACAGAAUGUCAGAGAGGGUGAGAAUCCCGUCUUGAACCGGUGGUAGGGCCUAUGUGAAACUCCUUCGACGAGUCGAGUUGUUUGGGAAUGCAGCUCCAAAUGGGUGGUAAAUUUCAUCUAAAGCUAAAUAUUGGCCAGAGACCGAUAGCGCACAAGUAGAGUGAUCGAAAGAUGAAAAGCACUUUGAAAAGAGAGUUAAACAGUAUGUGAAAUUGUUGAAAGGGAAGCGCUUACAACCAGACUUGAGCGCGGCGGUUCCCCCUUGCUUCUGCUUGGGUUACUCCGCCGUGUCCAGGCCAACAUCGGUUCUGGGGGUCGGUCAAAGGCCCUGGGAAUGUAUCUACCUACGGGUAGACUUAUAGACCAGGGUGUCAUGCGGCCUCCCGGGACCGAGGAACGCGCUCCGGCUCGGAUGUUAGAAGUAAUGGUUGUCAGCGACCC
rnacentral:rRNA from 1 species